CUUUCCGGAGGUGUCGUCUCCUUCCCGGGCCCACUCACGCACCACCUUCCUCUGCUCGUGCUCGUUCGCGAGCUAGCUGGCUCACGGGCACCCGCACCAUGCAGCGUAGCGCUGGCGCCUUGCACACCCGAGGCUGAACCUUGUCGCGUUUUGUUGCCCUUAGACUGGGAAAGCAGAUUCAAAUUAACGGAACUCUCCAACACCCAAAGGGGGAACUGACCUGAAGUAUUGUUUGUAACAAAUGCUUCUCACUAAAUAGAAAAGCAAAUUUCUCAUAAUUCUACUCCAAAAGGGUGAAGCACAUGUUUUUGAUAGGUAUACAACUGUGAAAAAUAACUUAGCUUUCUUUUAAACAAAGGUAACAUUCUGUAUAUGAACUGUAAAACCUUUAACAUAAAAAGUAAAUUUUAUCGAGGCAAGAAUUCUUACCUGUUGCCAAAGCCCCAGUGAUUAGAAUAGUGUUUAACAGGCUACUAUUAGGUUCUUAAACAUUUAUCGAAUGACUAAAAGAAUGAAUAUUCUUCUACAAGAAGUGGUAUUUUCAAUAGUAGUAUGUGAAUCAUGUAGAUUAUGAUUAAUAAUCAUAUAAAUGUGCUUAAUAUCACUAAUCAUGGAAAUAUAAGUUAAAGCCAAAUUAAGAUGCUACUACACCACUUAGAAUGUAUAAAGAGAAAAUGUUUACCAGAAUGUGUAAAAUAAUGAGCAAAAUAUAAAGCGUUUCCAAAGAUUUAGUCCAAAGACUAAAAUGAAGUUUUGUGUGUUACUAGUAGAAGAGUAAAAUGAUACAAUCACUUUGGAAGGUGUGUGGCAGUUUUACUACAACUAAAGCACACAUGACUUAUGAUGUCAGUUUGAUUCCUAGGUUUAAUACAAGAGGAAUGAGUGUACACAUGCACAAAGACAUAGAAUGUUUAGGACAACUUUAUUUGUAAUAACUCAAACUUGUAAGAAGUCCAGUGCCAACAAUGGGUAAAAGGUAAAUGAAUUGUGGUAAUUCAUAUAAUAAAUUACAGUAAUAAUGUUGAAGUAGAAUGUGGUAGGAAGAAGAUGACUACAGUAUAUCACAUAGUGUAUGAUCCCAUUCACAUGAAGUUUGAGGAAAACCAGGACUAACUGACCUUUAUAAAAGUAGCUAUUUUGGAAUUCAGUGGCAGAAAUUUUUGUGCUGUAUUCUGAGUGUAUGUAUCUUGAUAUAAUCUUAACAUUAUACAUUUGUGAAGAAACACCAAGAAUUAAGACAUGUGGUUUAUGAAAACCCACUUUUUAUUUCCUUCCAGCAAGGCAAGAGUGCCUUUGGUAAAUUUGUCAUUUGAAAAUAUUAUUAUUUUGUAUUUUUCAUUUUUCAUUCCUGAUCAAGUAAAAGGCAUUUGUUAAUCUUUACAAGUUCAUUUGGACUGAAUGACCAAGCUAUCUGAUGAAUAAAGAGAUAUUUCUCCUUAUUCAGGAGGUUGCUCCUAUUUGAAUCUCAUCUUUAUCAAUCUUGAUCCAUAGCUUUUUUUCUCCUGUGGAAAUAGAGACAAAAAUUUUUUCCCCAAUGUAACACAAUUCCAGUUUUCUGUUUUAAGGAUUAUACACUAUGUGAUAUAUACAUCAACACAUCUCUAAAAUAUACAGGCUGGUUUAAUUCAGCAGGGUUUUUUCCUAUUAUUCAUUGUCUCUCCACAGUUGUUGUAUGGCACACAUAUCUUAUCUUUAAAAAGUCUGGGGAAUGAAAUAUAUCCACUUGCCAAAUUUCAUUUCUUUAGGUAACUGUGGAACUUUCAAUAUGCUUGGUCCAGGGAACGGCACUAUUAGAUGUUGUCCUGUUAGAGGAAAUGUGUCACUGUUGGGGUGGGCUUUGAGACCCCUCUCCUUGCUGCCUGAAAUACAGUCUGCUCCUUACUUCUUUUGGAUGAAGAUGUCGAACUCUCAGCUCCUCCAAUGUCAUGCCUGCCUGGAUGCAGCCAUCCUUCCUGUCAUGAUGAUAAUGGACUGAAUCACAGAACCUGUAAGCCUGCAUCAAGUCUGAAGGAUUAGGCACAUCCUCUCCCACUGAGGCUAGAUGUGGCAGCCCUCUGCUACAUAUGUGUCAGGGGCCUUGAACCAGCCCCUGUAUGAUUUUUGGUUGGUGGAUCAGUCUCUAGAAGUUCCCAGAGGGCCAGGUUAUUUGCUUUGUGGAUGAGUUUUCCAAAACUGACAGGGAAUGGAAUGACUGAAUCCAAUUUAAUAUGGACAGGAGGGCCCCCAGGGUUUUUCCCAAUAGAAAAUAUUACCUUGCCUAUCUUUUGUUCAUGUGCAUUCAUUAGUCCAAUGUAGGCCUUUGCCAUACCUUCUGCAUACUCCAGAAAGCUGGGGCCUUCUUUUUGGAUAAUCUCUAGAAAAAAAAAAAACAAUAUUUCUAGAAAUGCCUUGCAUAUAAUCUGUUUUCAUAUGAACUUGAACUUGCUUAUCACAAUUAAAACAUCUGAUGUUUUUGUUUUCUUCAAACUUUUAGAAAUUAUUUCUCCUAUCAAAGUAGCAUCAUAAACAUGAGACCCAAUAUUGCUAUAUUUCCAAUCCAUUCAUCUAUUGAUUCUGAUGUUGCCUUGAAAGGCCUAAUCGUCCCUUUGCAUUCUGAAUUAGCAUUUUCAAAAGCCAAAGAUCUCAUUAAUAUUUGUCUGACUUCUGAAUCUGAUACUCUUUUAUUUACAGCUGAAGUCAACCUUUGC
ensembl:antisense uncharacterized LOC110294011